GGCUCAGGACGAACGCUGGCGGCGUGCUUAACACAUGCAAGUCGAACGAUGAAGCCCUUCGGGGUGGAUUAGUGGCGAACGGGUGAGUAACACGUGGGCAAUCUGCCCUUCACUCUGGGACAAGCCCUGGAAACGGGGUCUAAUACCGGAUAUGAGCCUGGGAGGCAUCUCCCGGGUUGUAAAGCUCCGGCGGUGAAGGAUGAGCCCGCGGCCUAUCAGCUUGUUGGUGAGGUAACGGCUCACCAAGGCGACGACGGGUAGCCGGCCUGAGAGGGCGACCGGCCACACUGGGACUGAGACACGGCCCAGACUCCUACGGGAGGCAGCAGUGGGGAAUAUUGCACAAUGGGCGCAAGCCUGAUGCAGCGACGCCGCGUGAGGGAUGACGGCCUUCGGGUUGUAAACCUCUUUCAGCAGGGAAGAAGCGCAAGUGACGGUACCUGCAGAAGAAGCGCCGGCUAACUACGUGCCAGCAGCCGCGGUAAUACGUAGGGCGCAAGCGUUGUCCGGAAUUAUUGGGCGUAAAGAGCUCGUAGGCGGCUUGUCACGUCGGGUGUGAAAGCCCGGGGCUUAACCCCGGGUCUGCAUUCGAUACGGGCUGGCUAGAGUGUGGUAGGGGAGAUCGGAAUUCCUGGUGUAGCGGUGAAAUGCGCAGAUAUCAGGAGGAACACCGGUGGCGAAGGCGGAUCUCUGGGCCAUUACUGACGCUGAGGAGCG
rnacentral:rRNA from 1 species